CAGCAGCAGCCGCGGUAAUACGGAGGGAGCUAGCGUUGUUCGGAAUUACUGGGCGUAAAGCGCACGUAGGCGGUUAUUCAAGUCAGAGGUGAAAGCCCGGGGCUCAACCUCGGAACUGCCUUUGAAACUAGAUGACUGGAAUCUUGGAGAGGUCAGUGGAAUUCCGAGUGUAGAGGUGAAAUUCGUAGAUAUUCGGAAGAACACCAGUGGCGUAGGCGACUGACUGGACAAGUAUUGACGCUGAGGUGCGAAAGCGUGGGGAGCAAACAGGAUUAGAUACCCGAGUAGUCCCUGUCUCUUAUAC
rnacentral:rRNA from 1 species